rnacentral:rRNA from 1 species
UGCGUAGGUGGCCUGACAAGUCAGAGGUGAAAGGCUACGGCUUAACCGUAGUAAGCCUUUGAAACUGACAGGCUUGAGUGCAGGAGAGGAAAGUGGAAUUCCUAGUGUAGCGGUGAAAUGCGUAGAUAUUAGGAGGAACACCAGUGGCGAAGGCGACUUUCUGGACUGUAACUGACACUGAGGCACGAAAGCGUGGGGAGCAAACAGGAUUAGAUACCCUGGUAGUCC